AUACGGAGGGUCCAAGCGUUAUCCGGAUUCAUUGGGUUUAAAGGGUCCGCAGGCGGGAAAAUAAGUCAGUGGUGAAAGCCUACAGCUCAACUGUAGAACUGCCAUUGAUACUGUUUUUCUUGAGUAUAGAUGAAGUGGGCGGAAUAUAUCAUGUAGCGGUGAAAUGCAUAGAUAUGAUAUAGAACACCGAUUGCGAAGGCAGCUCACUAAACUAUUACUGACGCUCAGGGACGAAAGCGUGGGGAGCGAACAGGAUUAGAAACCCUUGUAGUCC
rnacentral:rRNA from 1 species